ensembl:lncRNA
AAACCACUUCCUCAAGUCACUUGUAUCCAUAAUCCCUGGAUGACAGCAGGGAUUUUAGGGUAGUGGAAACAGCCCCGUACUCAGUGACCAGCUGCUGAGCAAUGAUUUGGAAGGACUGUCUCAAUUACAGCUGAAGCACAGCCUUCAUCACCUCCAGGUGACAGAAUUACCAGAGCAUGUUUUGCUACAUAUGCAAGGAACAAACUAAAUCCCAACAGGAUAUCACCAUACUGUGCCCGUGCCAUCCAGAAGUAAGACAUCUUAAAGCAUUUCUGAUAAAGACCUGAGAGCUGGUCAUUUGGAAAACUGGGCCCUUUGAACGAUCUUAAAUGGGACACACAUUGUGAUUCUCCUGUUGAAAAUUUAUUCUUGAAUUCCUGGUGCUUGCUUGAAGUUUACACUGCUAAGAAUACUGAAGACAGUGCAAAUACAUUUAUUUUCAGCAACAUCCUUCAUGGACAAGUGCUUAUAAGGGAUGAGGAGACUAUUUCCACAGUACACAAAAAUAUCUCUGGCAACAAUAGGAGCAGUCACUCCUUUGCUCAUCUGCAAGAUAAAAUGUUCUUCUGUAAAAUAGCAGAGGCCACAUGGAGGAAGUUAUGGAGGAAGUUUGCCAAAGAUUUUGUCUACAUUCACUAA